CACGACUACAUUAGAUACCCGCGUAGUCCUAGCCGUAAACGAUACUCGCUAGGUGUCGGCCACGGUGCGACCGUUGUCGGUGCCGUAGGGAAGCCGUGAAGCGAGCCACCUGGGAAGUACGGCCGCAAGGCUGAACUUAAAGGAAUUGGCGGGGGAGCACCACAACGGGUGGGCCUGCGGUUUAAUUGGACUCAACGCCGGGAAGCUCACCGGAUAAGACAGCGGAAUGAUUGCCGGGCUGAAGACCCUGCAUGACCAGCUG
rnacentral:rRNA from 1 species